AGUGAACGCUGGCGGUAGGCCUAACACAUGCCAGUCGAACGGCAGCACAGUAAGAGCUUGCUCUUACGGGUGGCGAGUGGCGGACGGGUGAGGAAUAUAUCGGAAUCUACUUUUUCGUGGGGGAUCACGUAGGGAAACUUACUCUAAUACCGCAUACGCCCUACGGGUGAAAGCAGUGGAUCUUCGGACCUUGCGCGAUUGAAUGAGCCGAUGUCGGAUUUGCUAGUUGGCGGGGUAAAGGCCCACCAAGGCGCCGAUCCGUAGCUGGUCUGAGAGAAGGGUCGGCCACACGGGAGCGGAGACGCGGUCCAGGCGCCUAAGGGAGGCAGCAGUGGGGAAUAUGAGGCAAUGGGGGCAAGCCUGAUCCAGCCAGAGCGCGUGGGUGAAGAAGGCCUUCGGGUUGUAAAGCCCUUUUGUUGGGAAAGAAAAGCAGCAGGUUAAUACCCCGCUGUUCUGACGGUACCCAAAGAAUAAGCACCGGCUAACUUCGUG
rnacentral:rRNA from 1 species